ACCUGGGUAGCUCAGUCAGUUGAGCAUCUGUCUUCAACUCAGGUCAUGAUCUCAUAUUUUGUGAGUUCAAGCCCCACAUCAGGUC
rnacentral:tRNA from 1 species